UACGAAGGGGGCUAGCGUUGUUCGGAAUCACUGGGCGUAAAGCGCACGCAGGCGGAUCGUUAAGUCAGGGGUGAAAUCCCGAGGCUCAACCUCGGAACUGCCUUUGAUACUGGCGAUCUUUGAGUCAGGGAGAGGUGAGUGGAACUCCGAGUGUAGAGGUGAAAUUCGUAGAUAUUCGGAAGAACACCAGUGGCGAAGGCGGCUCACUGGCCCGGUACUGACGCUCAUGUGCGAAAGCGUGGGGAGCAAACAGG
rnacentral:rRNA from 1 species